rnacentral:sRNA from 1 species
AUGUGCCGGCAGAUGUAAUUCAUCGACCGGUAGCAGUGGAUAAGA